AACGAACGCUGGCGGCGUGCCUAACACAUGCAAGUCGAACGUGAUUGGGGAGCUUGCUCCCCAUGAAAGUGGCGCACGGGUGAGUAACGCGUAGAUAAUCUACAUGAUGGUACGGGAUAACACUUCGAAAGGGGUGCUAAUACAGGAUAAGCUCACGAGGUCUGUGGACCAUGCGGGAAAAGGGGGGGACCUUUUAGGCCUUCCGUCAUCAGAUGAGUCUGCGUACCAUUAGCUAGUUGGUAGGGUAAAGGCCUACCAAGGCGACGAUGGUUAGCUGGUCUGAGAGGAUGAUCAGCCACACUGGAACGGAGACACGGUCCAGACUCCUACGGGAGGCAGCAGUGGGGAAUUUUGCGCAAUGGGGGAAACCCUGACGCAGCAACGCCGCGUGAGUGAUGAAGGCUCUUGGGUCGUAAAGCUCUGACAGAGGGAAAGAAAUGCAUGGUGGCUAAUAUCCAUUGUGCUUGACGGUACCCUCAAAGGAAGCACCGGCUAACUCCGUGCCAGCAGCCGCCGUAAAAC
rnacentral:rRNA from 1 species